rnacentral:rRNA from 1 species
UAAUACGUGAUCCUCAAGCGUUAUCCGGAUUUAUUGGGCGUAAAGCGUUCGUAGGCGGCGAGAUAAGUUUUUGGUUAAAGCCCACGGCUUAACUGUGGAAAUGCCAAGAAUACUAUCUUGCUAGAGGGCAUUAGGGGCUGAUGGAACGGUCGGUGUAGGGGUGAAAUCCGUUGAUAUCGACCGGAACACCAAAAGCGAAGGCAUUCAGCUGGGAUGACCCUGACGCUGAGGAACGAAAGCGUGGGUAGCAAAAAGGAUUAGAUACCCUUGUAGUCCACGCUGUAAAUGAUGGACACUAGCUAUUUGAAGUGUCGACCCUUCAAGUGGCGAAGCUAACGCGUUAAGUGUCCCGCCUGGGAAGUACGGCCGCAAGGCUA